rnacentral:rRNA from 1 species
GAGAUGGUUUCGUGCUCGAAGAGAACCGUAACACAGGUGCUGCAUGGCUGUCGUCAGCUCGUGUCGUGAGAUGUUGGGUUAAGUCCCGCAACGAGCGCAACCCUUGCCAUUAGUUGCUACAUUCAGUUGAGCACUCUAAUGGGACUGCCGGUGACAAACCGGAGGAAGGUGGGGAUGACGUCAAGUCCUCAUGGCCCUUAUAGGUGGGGCUACACACGUCAUACAAUGGCUGGUACAAAGGGUUGCCAACCCGCGAGGGGGAGCUAAUCCCAUAAAGCCAGUCGUAGUCCGGAUCGCAGUCUGCAACUCGACUGCGUGAAGUCNGAAUCGCUAGUAAUCGUGGAUCAGAAUGUCACGGUGAAUACGUUCCCNGGUCUUGUACACACCGAGA